UACGAACCGUGCGAACGUUGUUCGGAUUCACUGGGCUUAAAGGGCGCGUAGGCGGACCAUCAAGUCGGGGGUGAAAUCUUUCAGCUUAACUGGAAACGUGCCUCUGAUACUGGUGGUCUCGAGGGAGGCAGGGGCAUGCGGAACUUCCGGUGGAGCGGUGAAAUGCGUAGAUAUCGGAAGGAACGCCGGUGGCGAAAGCGGCGUGCUGGACCUCUUCUGACGCUGAGGCGCGAAAGCUAGGGGAGCGAACGGG
rnacentral:rRNA from 1 species